GAUGAACGCUGGCGGCGUGCCUAAUACAUGCAAGUCGAGCGAAUGGAUUAAGAGCUUGCUCUUAUGAAGUUAGCGGCGGACGGGUGAGUAACACGUGGGUAACCUGCCCAUAAGACUGGGAUAAGUCCGGGAAACCGGGGCUAAUACCGGAUAACAUUUUGAACCGCAUGGUUCGAAAUUGAAAGGCGGCUUCGGCUGUCACUUAUGGAUGGACGCGUGUCGCAUGAGCUAGUUGGUGAGGUAACGGCUAACCAAGGCAACGAUGCGUAGACGACCUGAGAGGGUGAUCGGCCACACUGGGACUGAGACACGGCCCAGACUCCUACGGGAGGCAGCAGUAGGGAAUCUUCCGCAAUGGACGAAAGUCUGACGGAGCAACGCCGCGUGAGUGAUGAAGGCUUUCGGGUCGUAAAACUCUGUUGUUAGGGAAGAACAAGUGCUAGUUGAAUAAGCUGGCACCUUGACGGUACCUAACCAGAAAGCCACGGCUAACUACGUGCCAGCCGCCGCAGUAA
rnacentral:rRNA from 1 species